rnacentral:tRNA from 1 species
GGCACUAUGGCGGAGUGGUUAACGCGAGAGAUUCGAAUGAUCUCAAUCUCUUCCUCUCUGAGGGCGCAGGUUCGAAUCCUGCUGGUGUCG